UUCGAGCGUCAUUACACCACUCAAGCCCCGCUUGGUAUUGGGCGCCGCGCUUCGGCGCGCGCCUCAAUGUAACCGGCUGAGUCGACCGUCUCUAAGCGUUGUGGCACUAUGUUUCCGCUUCGGAGCUCGGGAGUCUCGCGCCGUUAAACACCCCAUCAAAGGUUGACCUCGGAUCAGGUAGGGAUACCCGCUGAACUUAA
rnacentral:misc_RNA from 1 species